GCCAGGCAGGGCAUAGGUCUAUAUCACCCGUUCUGAGAGAUUAUCUUGCUGUCAAAGGUACACCUCUUGGCAGGUCUAGGAAGUGUAUGGAGGAUGCCCCCUGCACCAGGGACAUGGUGAGGGCUGGAGAUGCUGAAAGACUCCAAAUGUCAUUUCACGGAGUCACAGAACUGAGUGUGAAGAAACAGGAAUCCUUCCACAAAUUUCUAACUUCCUUCUUUUUCCUAUAAUGCCAGCUUUCCAUUUCCAACCUCUUUAAUAUUAAAAUUGAACACUUUUUCCUAAACUGUUACCCUGAUUAUUUAAGCUAUCAUUAUUAAAUUUUUCUCAGUGGCCUU